rnacentral:rRNA from 1 species
GACGAACGCUGGCGGCAGGCCUAACACAUGCAAGUCGAACGAGUGGCGGAAGGGUGAGUAAUGUCUGGGAAAAUGCCCGAGGGAGGGGGAUAACUACUGGAAACGGUAGCUAAUACCGCAUAACAUCGGAUGUGGCCAGAUGGGAUUAGCAAGGAGGUAGGGUAAUGGCUCACCUAGGAGACGAUCCCUAGCGUGUCUGAGAGGAAGACCAGCCACACUGGAACUGAGACACGGUCCAGACUCCUACGGGAGGCAGCAGUGGGGAAUAUUGCACAAUGGGCGAAAGCCUGAUGCAGCCAUGCCGCGUGUAUGAAGAAGGCCUUCGGGUUGUAAAGUACUUUCAGCGAGGAGGCGUUACUCGCAGAAGAAGCACCGGCUAACUCCGUGCCAGCCGCCGCGGUAAUUC